GAUGAACGCUAGCUACAGGCUUAACACAUGCAAGUCGAGGGGAAACGGCAUCGAAAGCUUGCUUUUGAUGGGCGUCGACCGGCGCACGGGUGAGUAACGCGUAUCCAACCUGCCCAUCACUUGGGAAUAACCUUGCGAAAGUAAGACUAAUGCCCAAUGACAUCCCACGAAGGCAUCCGAAUGGGAUUAAAGAUUUAUCGGUGAUGGAUGGGGAUGCGUCUGAUUAGCUUGUUGGCGGGGUGACGGCCCACCAAGGCAACGAUCAGUAGGGGUUCUGAGAGGAAGGUCCCCCACAUUGGAACUGAGACACGGUCCACACUCCUACGGGAGGCAGCAGUGAGGAAGAUUGGUCAAUGGGCGAGAGCCUGAACCAGCCAAGUAGCGUGCAGGAUGACGGCCCUAUGGGUUGUAAACUGCUUUUAUAAGGGAAUAAAGUGGGUCACGUGUGACUUUUUGCAUGUACCUUAUGAAUAAGGACCGGCUAAUUCCGUG
rnacentral:rRNA from 1 species